CUGACAGACUGGAGGAGUUCUGCAGAGAAUUGAACAAGAACAGGUAGGGGGAAGAUCCUGUGUGUAUCAGCAGUGUCAUUGUACAGCUGGGACUUGUAGUCCUACACAUACAACAUGCUGCUGAGUCUCCCAGCAGUCAGACAUGUCACUUAGGGCAGACUUAUUCACUCCCUUUGCAGAGCAGGGGGAGGGGCAGAGAUUGUUGUUAUUGCAUAUAAACAAAGGGCCAGAAGAGAACCAGGGAGAUGAGGAAAUAUAAUUUUAACCUAAAAUUUGG